UACGUAGGUGGCAAGCGUUGUCCGGAUUUACUGGGCGUAAAGAGCGCGCAGGCGGUCGUUCAAGUCGCGUGUGAAAGCCCCCGGCUCAACUGGGGAGGGUCACGCGAUACUGAUCGACUCGAAGGCAGGAGAGGGAAGUGGAAUUCCCGGUGUAGUGGUGAAAUGCGUAGAUAUCGGGAGGAACACCAGUGGCGAAGGCGGUUGCCUGGAGCUUUGCUGACGCUGAGGCGCGAAAGCGUGGGGAGCGAUCCGG
rnacentral:rRNA from 1 species